UAGUGAUUAUUUAUUUACUUAUUCACUUGAAAGCGCGGGUUUAUUUAUUUUUUUUCAGUUGACAAAUAUUUAGUAAAUGUCAUAUUUUCAUAUAUUUGUGUUUUAUUUUAUAAAAUACUUAAACUUUUUAUCUUUAUUUAUUGUAUUUCAUUUUAAAUGACUAUUUAUGUUUAAAAAUCAAACUUUAUUGGGGAAAUUUCAAUUAUACACUUUGUGGUGUACCACUUUUCACUUUUACCACCACUAAAUUGACAUUUUCAAAAAUACUUUCUUCAUUAAAUAGCAAAAGACUAAAUUAACAUUUCCUUAUCUUAAAAAAAAAAAAACAUUUCCUUAUCUUCAACCAUAAACGCCUCUAUUCAGAUCUAUCUUCUCUCUCGUGGAGAUCCGCCGUCGCCGUAUUCAUGAGUUUCACGGUGUCCGUCUUUAACAAGUUCGUCGUCUUCUUCGUCAAGCUUCUCUUUCGUCUUCCUCAAACAUGUCGUUGUUGUAUUUAUGAGCUUCACCAUGUCUGUCUUUAAUGAGUUCGUCGUCUUCUUCAUCGAGCCCCGUCGUCGUCGUAUUCAUGAAAUUCAGUGCGUAUGUCUAUAACGAGUUUGUGUUUUAGUAUCAAUUGCUCUUUCUACGAUGAAUUAUGAAAGUAAGACUUUUUAAAUUAGCUUCUCUCUUUCUUCCAAAUAUGUUGAUUUAGUUUUUU
rnacentral:lncRNA from 1 species